rnacentral:rRNA from 1 species
GGGCACUCUAAGUUGACUGCCGGUGACAAACCGGAGGAAGGUGGGGAUGACGUCAAAUCAUCAUGCCCCUUAUGAUUUGGGCUACACACGUGCUACAAUGGACAAUACAAAGGGCAGCGAAACCGCGAGGUCAAGCAAAUCCCAUAAAGUUGUUCUCAGUUCGGAUUGUAGUCUGCAACUCGACUAUAUGAAGCUGGAAUCGCUAGUAAUCGUAGAUCAGCAUGCUACG